rnacentral:rRNA from 1 species
UUUAUGGAGAGUUUGAUCCUGGCUCAGGAUGAACGCUGGCGGCGUGCCUAAUACAUGCAAGUCGAGCGAACGGACGAGAAGCUUGCUUCUCUGAUGUUAGCGGCGGACGGGUGAGUAACACGUGGAUAACCUACCUAUAAGACUGGGAUAACUUCGGGAAACCGGAGCUAAUACCGGAUAAUAUUUUGAACCGCAUGGUUCAAAAGUGAAAGACGGUCUUGCUGUCACUUAUAGAUGGAUCCGCGCUGCAUUAGCUAGUUGGUAAGGUAACGGCUUACCAAGGCAACGAUGCAUAGCCGACCUGAGAGGGUGAUCGGCCACACUGGAACUGAGACACGGUCCAGACUCCUACGGGAGGCAGCAGUAGGGAAUCUUCCGCAAUGGGCGAAAGCCUGACGGAGCAACGCCGCGUGAGUGAUGAAGGUCUUCGGAUCGUAAAACUCUGUUAUUAGGGAAGAACAUAUGUGUAAGUAACUGUGCACAUCUUGACGGUACCUAAUCAGAAAGCCACGGCUAACUACGUGCCAGCAGCCGCGGUAAUACGUAGGUGGCAAGCGUUAUCCGGAAUUAUUGGGCGUAAAGCGCGCGUAGGCGGUUUUUUAAGUCUGAUGUGAAAGCCCACGGCUCAACCGUGGAGGGUCAUUGGAAACUGGAAAACUUGAGUGCAGAAGAGGAAAGUGGAAUUCCAUGUGUAGCGGUGAAAUGCGCAGAGAUAUGGAGGAACACCAGUGGCGAAGGCGACUUUCUGGUCUGUAACUGACG